GAAGCUGACAAGAGGUGAUGCUAGGGCUGGGCGAUAUGGCGAUAUAUAUCGUGUGACAAUAGAAAAACGCAUAUGAUUUCAUAUUAUGCUGUAUCGUUUAUUUCGAUGUGUCGCAAAUCACUCUUUACGGCAAUAUUUUUCGUCAAUUGGACGACACUUUGCGUGCCGUGUGGAAGGAAAUGUGCAACACUAACAAACAUGGAGGAGAGUGAAUGUGACACAGAGCACGGAGACACGGAGCUCGUACCUAAAGGAGGGGUCACAUGGACGUGGUUUGGGUAUGAAAAGUCUGACACGGACCAGAAAACCGCCCUCUGCAAAAUAUGCCGCAGGCCGGUCCUGACAACAGGCUCAAACACCAGUAACCUAUUUUACCACCUACGCAAGAAUCACGUGAAACAGUACGGAGAGAGUCUACGGAUGAGACCCCAAAAAGUAGAGUUGAGUGCUCAAAACAAACCCCCGACUCAGACGCUGCAAGAGGAUUUUUCCCGGGGCACAUCAUAUGGCAAAGAAUCAGGAAGAUGGAAGGAGGUAACAGCUGCCGUUACAACUUACAUCUGCAAAGACAUGUCCAGAAUUUACACGUUCGAGAAACGGGAGUUUCUUGAUUUGGUGCUAACACUCGACCCAAGAAAAUCUGCUAUAUCGUGAUAUGCAUCGUUAUCGGGAUAUGAAAUUACCUAUAUCGGGAUAUGAGAAUUUGGCCAUAUCGCCCAGCCCUAGGUGACGCUCCUGACAAGGAGAGGUGGCCUAAAUAUUGCAGCCAUGUCAUCCCUCACACAACAACUGAGGACUGCUCCAAAGUACGCCAAUUUGCAAAAAAAGCUGGGGAAAAAACUAAAAUGUGGAAAGCACUAGCGAAAUGGAGGCACGACCACACACCAUCCCAGCUCGUUACCAGACUGGUUGUUAUGAUGACAGCAAGCAGUAAGUUGAUUAUACACUGAGUAUAUUAACAUAGGCACAGAUCCGAUGCAUAUGACACGUUUUCUGUUUUGUAUCUAGCAACUGAUAUAGAUGAGUUCUUUAUGGAACCCUGCUUUCCAGAGAGAACUUUACGUUUACCUCUACCACCCAGAUGUCAGGACACAAAUGAAGAUAUCCCACAAAAAGGAAAAGUCUCCAAAGUGUCCAGUGAACCACAAACUGUGUCAUGCAGUGAGUAUUGAGAGGAACCAACAUUUUGGACAGUGACCUACACUCUAUGGCCAAAGGUCUACCAACCAAAACAACAACUGGCGAAGUAGCGCUACCUGCAGCAUCCAGUCUCCAACAAAAGGAAUCUGCAUCCACAAGUGCCGUGCAGUCUCAGGAGAUAAUUGCAAUGAUGUCUUGUUAGUACUGUACAUGUUCACCUGUUAUUUAACAGUACUUUGGUCAAAAUAGCAACUCCCCUUGAAUCCUUUCUGCUUAAACCCCGUGUUUAAUUACUAUGUGUUAUGUGUCUCCGUUCUAAUCAAUGUCGUCUUGCUAAGCCUUCCAGACACAGAUACUGAUGAAGCGAGACAUUAUAAUUGCGAAUCAGCAAGAGCAACUGAGGCUCCUUAAUGCUACAAGGCCAUCGACCACAGCUGAGGACCUCGACAUUCUGCAAUCACCGUUAGACUCUGUGGCUGAUCUGAAGCUACUGUGUAGCGGAGCUCAACAGAGGAGAAUCUUCGCAAACAAUUGACCACAGCACCUGAAAUAACGGAGAGAGACAGAAGGAGCACAAGCACAGAGUCGACCCUUAAGCCUUUUGACUAAAGAGUACAUUUUUAUUAAAUGUCCAGUGGUAAAAAGGGAAAUAAUGUAAUUCACGGCUAAUCCAAUUAUAGUUCAUCAAGAGUUAGUAAUUAACAGUUGUAUAUUGUAUUUUGUAUUUCCUUGUUGGUUAAAUGAAUCAAAUGUUAUCUAUAAGAGACCCCUUUUCAGUCAUGUAUGUGGCAAAAAUAUUAUUGAUGUAAAGGUCUGCAAUAGUAGAAAUGUCCUUUCUCUUCCAAAAUAAAAAAGUGUUGUCAGUUAGUGGGGGGAGCAUGGUCACGGCAAAUAGGAGUACAGACAGAGGUCUCCGGGAGACCAAAUGUUUUCCUUAUUUGAUACCAAAUGUCAUGAUUUUUUUUGCAUAAAGUUAUUGCCGUAAUACCUGUUAGUUGAUGAAAAGAGAAGUGCUGGAAGAGAGAUGUAGUGUAUAUCUUCUUCAAUAGCGAGCCAUGAAGGGGUGGAGAGUUCUACUAUGCCAGGGUAUACAUCCUGCCAAUAAAGUCAGUGCUCUAGCAUUUGCUGCCCAAUAAUAAUGCUGAAAAUUUGGCAGGCUCAGACCCCCUAAUUGUUUGGGCUUGAUUAUACGUUUAGAGAUACGGUGUACUUUGUAUCCCCACACAAAAGGCAGAUAAUAAAAUCCAAGGAUUUGAAAAAGCUUUACUUAAAAAUAUAGGCAGAUUCUGAAAGAGAGAAAGAAAUCUGGGGAAUGUAACCAUUUUAAUAGCGUGCCUCUAUGUUGCGCUUCAGCUUGACGAGGUAGUUCAAUUUAUAAAUCAAUUUAGAGUCCUUAGGGAUGAUAACCCCUAAAUAUUACAUUUAGUCACGUGUGAUUUAAAAGGUAUAUGUUUAAGGAACUCUGGGUUUAAGUCACCUUUAGGAGGCAUGAAUUCACUUUUAUCCCAGUUUAUGGUGUACCGAGAGUUCUCCAAAUUAUUCAAUGAGAUCCAACAGCGGUGGAAGUGACUCUUCGGGGCGUGAGACCAACAAGAUGAUGUGCAUAGAGCGAGAAUCGGUGAUCAACCUUGCCUAUGUUUAGAGGAGCAAUGGCAGGAUGGCUGCUGAUACUGAUAGCUAGGGGUUCCAUAGCAAUGGUGAAUAGCAAUGGACUCAAGGGGCAUCCCUGGCAGCAGGAACGUUGAAGUGAAAACGGAGGUGAUUUAUUGUAAUUUGUGAAAACUGAAGCCGUCGGGCACGCAGAGUAUUUCAACCCAAGAGACAAAACUCACCCAAACCAAACUUGGUCAAAUGCUUUUUGAGCGUCAAGUGCAAGUAUUGCAACUUUAGAAUCUUUGUCAUGUCUGGAAUACAUGAUAUUCAGUCGACUAAUGUUGUAAAAUGAAAAUCUGCCUGCGAUAAAACCAGUUUGGUCAUGAUGAAUUAUAGUCGAAAUGCAUUUAUUUAGUCUGUUCGCGAGUAUUUUAGUAAACACCUCGAGUUCACAUCCGAGGAGGGCAAUAGGACGAUAUGAAGAUGGAUCGGCAUCUUUAUCUUUCUUUAAUAUUAGGGAGAUAUUAGUUUCAAUGGAGUGUUUAAACAGAGGAGUAACCUUUUCUGAAUAAACUUUGUAAAACUUCAUACCAAAGCCAUCAGUGCCAGCCGCUUUCCCAUUAGGGAAGGAACAUACUGCAGAGACAACCUCUUCGAAAGUUCUCUGCAUUUAGCUCCCUUUGAGCAGCGCCGCAUAAUUUAGGUAGGGAAAGGGAAUGGCGGAAAUCAGACAUUUUUGCGGUAUCUGCAGUGGUCUUUGAGGUGUAGAGGUCUUGAUAAAACGUUGUGAAAUGUGUUAAUUCCUUUUGGGUCCGUAGUAACAGCUCCUGUACUAGAUUUAAUUCUAUGACUAGCUCUAUUGAUUGGCCUGUAUACCUCUCAGCUGGUGUGCCAGUAGUUUUUCCCGGUUUGUCACCCAACUCAAAGUGUUUGUUUAAUCUUUAAUAGCAUUGUGUUUACUUGGUUAGAGAAAAUAGUAUUGUAUUCAUAUUUUAGUCAUUCAACUUGGCGCUUCUACAUAGACUCUCUCAAGCUCCGGUAGCUGGGCCUCAAUUUCUAAUCUUCUCUGCACCGAGGUAAAGACAGUUUCAAGUUGGAUAUUAGACGGAUAUUCUCGCUUCAAACUUCAAUAGCUUUCAAACCACUUGAGCCAAAUAAGUGUCAUGAUGUAGGAAAAAUUGCGGGAAACAUUGCACUGGUCAUAUUUUCACGAUUUGGACAUUCAUUCACUUUCCAAAGCUAAUUAACAUUUGGAAAUGUGAGCGACAUCUUGUAUUCCUAGUUGAAUUAGUUAGGGAGUGUAAACCAAGUACAAACUUUUUUUACAUUCAAAUUUCAAUAGCUCCUUGGUCAUGUGACCUACUGACCUCAACCAAGGUUCAGAAUGUUCACUGACUACCAGUUAGUUUGUCCAUUUUCACUUGAUUUUACAUGAAUUUUUAUAAAAUUUUACAUUUCAGUAGCUCCUUGGUUAUGUGACCUACUGACUUCAAAGAAGGUUCAGAAUGUACACUCAGUGGGCAAGUCAGAUCCGUAAUGUCGGAAUAAGGAUUGGCUCUAAGGGCUAGGUUGGUCGGGCUGGGGUGCGAAGCGGGACUCUCGCCGCGGCUGGAGAGCAGUCGCUCCGUCGCCCUCUCGCCGCCGGAAGUUCAUUGUGCGGCCCAUCUCGCGGUCUGUUGUGCGUGGUCUCGCAAGUGGAUGCGUGCGGAUUCGUCAGGGUGGUGUCCGUCAGCGGGCUUGGAUCCGCGGACAGGGGUUGGAUCCGGCGGUUGGUGACGGCGACUCUGGACCGCGCCGGGCCCUUCUCGCAGAUCUCCCCAGCUACGGCGCUCGCCGGUCCUGUUCGUGCUGGGUCUCAUUGGCUCCUAUCAGCUGACUUAGAACUGUUGAUGCAAUGUGAUUUCUCCCCAGUGCUCUGAAUGUCAAAGUGAAGAAAUUCAAUGAAGCGCGGGUAAACGGUGGGAGUAACAAUGACUCUCUUAAGGAGUCCUUAGCCUUAGUAAGGGAGAUAACGAGGUAGCCCUCUAGCAGGGCUCUUCGAAUCCCUCCCUGUAUGUCACCUGUUGUCGCUAACGAUGCAAACCAAAACGGGAGUUACCUCGUUACUAGUCCGUACGCAAAGAGAGUCUUGCAGAUGGUGAUGGGUGUUGAUUGUUAACGGUAGGCGGAAGUCGGUCCUGGAAUAUGGGACUUUCGGUCAAGCAUAAAAAUGUGAGGGGGGGGGGUUCCACCAGACUCAAUGAUUUGCUGCGGGGCUCUUGUAAACUAAUCCUGACCUUGACAGGAAGCCAAUCAGAGAAUGAUGUCUC